UACGGGGGGGGCAAGCGUUGUUCGGAAUUACUGGGCGUAAAGGGCUCGUAGGUGGCCAACUAAGUCAGACGUGAAAUCCCUCAGCUUAACUUGGGAACUGCGUCGGAUACUGGAUGGCUUGAAUUCGGGAGAGGGAUGCAGAAUUCCAGGUGUAGCGGUGAAAUGCGUAGAUAUCUGGAGGAAUACCGGUGGCGAAGGCGGCAUCCUGGACCGACAUUGACGCUGAACGGCGAAAGCUAGGGGAGCAAACGGG
rnacentral:rRNA from 1 species